CCUACGGGUGGCUGCAGUGGGGAAUAUUGGACAAUGGGGGGAACCCUGAUCCAGCCAUGCCGCGUGUGUGAAGAAGGCCCUCGGGUUGUAAAGCACUUUCAGUGAGGAAGAACGCCUGGUGGUUAAUACCCAUCAGGAAAGACAUCACUCACAGAAGAAGCACCGGCUAACUCCGUGCCAGCAGCCGCGGUAAUACGGAGGGUGCGAGCGUUAAUCGGAAUUACUGGGCGUAAAGCGCGCGUAGGUGGCUUGAUAAGCCGGUUGUGAAAGCCCCGGGCUCAACCUGGGAACGGCAUCCGGAGCUGUCAAGCUAGAGUGCAGGAGAGGAAGGUAGAAUUCCCGGUGUAGCGGUGAAAUGCGUAGAGAUCGGGAGGAAUACCAGUGGCGAAGGCGGCCUUCUGGACUGACACUGACACUGAGGUGCGAAAGCGUGGGUAGCAAACAGGAUUAGAUACCCUUGUAGUC
rnacentral:rRNA from 1 species